GUCUAUGUCCUUGUCUCUCAAAAUAAUAUUUGCAUAUCGGAGGUAAGUGUAGGCUUAUGACGAUUUGGGUGAAAUUCUUCCUUUACUUCAGCUAGAAAUUGAUGUUUUGUUUAGAUACAACCUGGUUUGACGUUUUCCUCCAGUGUUGGUUAGAAUUAAUUGGGCAAAGAGCAUCGAGAGAUAUGUUUCUAUCAACACAAAGUAUAAAAAGGGUCGACUCAAUUGAGGUUCAUGGUUGUUCGUUUUGUCACGCUCUUGUUUACAUGCCUUUGGUUUGCUCCGGAAGAUGUUUCAUCGUAUUUGUAUAUGAGGAGUGGCGUAGAAUC
rnacentral:lncRNA from 1 species